GUCUGAGACCUGUGAGACUAGUGAACAGUAUAGAGUGUGGAGUGAUUUACCAUCUAAGACCUUCUUUGCUUUAUUUAUUACUGCAUUGUUUCUUGAGACUUUACUCUUUAUAUGUUUGAUAUGUGGUUUCCAGCUAAUUUUGUCAUCUAUA